GUGAGGAAUAUUGCGCAAUGGAGGCAACUCUGACGCAGCCAUGCCGCGUGCAGGAAGAAGGCGCUACGCGUUGUAAACUGCUUUUAACCGGGAAGAAACCCCAGGACGUGUCCUGGGUUGACGGUACCGGAGGAAUAAGCACCGGCUAACUUCGUGCCAGCAGCCGCGGUAAUACGAAGGGUGCAAGCGUUAUCCGGAUUCAUUGGGUUUAAAGGGUGCGUAGGCGGAGCGUUAAGUCAGUGGUGAAAUCCUGCAGCUUAACUGUAGACUUGCCAUUGAUACUGGCGCUCUUUAGUGCGCUUGAAGUGGGCGGAAUGUGCCGUGUAGCGGUGAAAUGCUUAGAUAUGGCACAGAACACCAAUUGCGAAGGCAGCUCACUAAGGCGAUACUGACGCUGAGGCACGAAAGCGUGGGGAUCGAACAGGAUUAGAUACCCUUGUAGUCC
rnacentral:rRNA from 1 species